GUUCCUAUAGUUGAAUAACAACGAUGGUUUUUCAUACCGUUAGUCAUAGUUUAGUGCUAUGUGGGAACU
rnacentral:tRNA from 1 species